GAUGAACGCUGGCGGCGUGCCUAAUACAUGCAAGUCGAGCGAACAGAUGAGGAGCUUGCUCCUCUGACCUUAGCGGCGGACGGGUGAGUAACACGUGGAUAACCUACCUAUAAGACUGGGGUAACUUCGGGAAACCGGAGCUAAUACCGGAUAAUAUAUUGAACCGCAUGGUUCAAUAGUGAAAGACGGUUUUGCUGUCACUUAUAGAUGGAUCCGCGCCGCAUUAGCUAGUUGGUAAGGUAACGGCUUACCAAGGCAACGAUGCGUAGCCGACCUGAGAGGGUGAUCGGCCACACUGGAACUGAGACACGGUCCAGACUCCUACGGGAGGCAGCAGUAGGGAAUCUUCCGCAAUGGGCGAAAGCCUGACGGAGCAACGCCGCGUGAGUGAUGAAGGUCUUCGGAUCGUAAAACUCUGUUAUUAGGGAAGAACAAAUGUGUAAGUAACUAUGCACGUCUUGACGGUACCUAAUCAGAAAGCCACGGCUAACUACGUG
rnacentral:rRNA from 1 species